UCUAUACAAGGAUGGACGCAGAAAGAAGACUGAGAGUGGCCAUUCUAUUAUUAGUUUCUUACGACGCUGGUUUUAGCGCCAAAUCCACAAAAGUGGAUCUCAAAGGCCGUUCUACAUCAAACGCAAGUCUCGCCGGUCUCGCGGAACCGAUCAGUCACGUCCCGCACACGGUAGAACGUUAGAUCGUCUUUUCAUGUCGAUGUUGAUGCCCAUUCUUAGCGUUAAAAAUUCUUGCCUGUGUCAAUUCUACCUUACUUUCUACAACGCAUGCGCUGCUGUUGAAGUUGAAGAACCUAACCGAAUUUUUUUGAUUUGAUCAUCAGUAAGAUGCCGUUUUUCAUGAGAUGAAGUCACAUGCAAAAAGUGAUUGUCUGCUAGAAUUAGAGGACAGACUUUGUAACCGUCCGACAUUUUAAGACCCGACGCUGAACACACAUAUGUCAAAAGGACACCGCCGCGGACGGUAAACAAACGACUGAUCAUCAACAUCAAACUUCUGGCUGAUACUUUAUCUGUAUAAUAAAUAAACGCUCUUAUUUACGCUUAUGUCAAUUUUUACGGAUCUCAGCAAUGGGCGUGUCGCGGGUUGUGAAACGCGCAAGCAAAUGUCAGACUGGCGCCAUUCUCGUCGUGGUAGGUACAUUUUCGUUCUCGUGUUUAACAGGAAGGGAUCCAUUGAGAUGACAUUACCCAAAGGGCGUAAUAUUCUAAGAAGAAACAGGAAACGAUUAUAAUAUCGUUUUACAACUUACGUCAGCAUCCUGUCCUGAAACUUUUUUUCGAGAAAUUACGAUGAAAAAUUUGCUAGACCGGUUUUGUGCUAAGAUCACGAUCCCCUUGAUUGCUCAUAGACAAGUAAUUUUGCGCUAUCUCUCUAUGUGCGAUGGAUGACUAUUAUUCGCGAAAGUAAUGAUACCACAUGUGAAACGAUUGUCUAUCUUAUCGUAUAUGUGUGCGUAUUGUUUUAAUUGAAUCAUGUGUGGCUUUCCCCGAAAUUUACCCUGCCGUUCUGAAGUAUCCGCACGAUUGCGUUUGUGCGCAAUUGCGAGAGACGCACAAUAAAUUGUUUGAAAAAUUUGUAGAAGAAAAAUUUUUAUUGUCACGCGUAAAUUCUAUUUCCGAAAGACAUAAUUCAGUUGAUCAUUUAUGUGCUAAAAUUAUAAAAUAAAGCACAUAAAUUAAAAAAAAAAUACUAAAAAAUUCUAAAAAAAAACUAAUGUGAACUAAUAAAUUAUUUAGUUCUUUGUUAUUAUGUGUACAUACUGUGAGAAACGAGAAAAGAUCAAAACUAGCCGAUUUCUAUAAGAAUAGAAAAGCAAGGAGGAGGUCUAUUACUAGCGGCAAGAAUCAACAUUAAAACCCAUGUUUUGCAUUGGUUAAUCAGUAAGUAGCUUACGUAGAAUUUGUUUGAAUGCCCGAUCUUCUUUUAAUCGAUGUCACGCAGAGACUUCUCACACGUGAUGUUUAACGCGUUCUAACGCUUCUUUUGUAAUUUUAUGCUUUUUAUGUCUAAAAAGAAUGUUUAAAUAAAUUGAGUAAAAAUAUACAGCUUGCUUAUCAUACUAUUUGUUUAUAUUCUAUUUUUGUUCCAAAUUUAGUGUAAAGAAACGAAAUAAAUAUAUAUGCAUAUUGUCUUAAUAAAUUGUCGGUUGUAGUUAGGCAAGUAUGAACCUUUUGCAGGGUGUUAUGCGAAAAAAUGAGUCUGUAGUAUUUUGUUUUUCAACCGAAAAUUUGAAAUACCGUUAAAAACUCAUUCAAACAACAUUAUUAAAUUGCGUUGCUAACAAUUCUCUUUUUAGUAAUACAAAAAAGUGUCAGGUUCAACAACUUAAGAACUCGAGAGAGUUUGGUUCUUGUGUGAGAAAGUUUUCAUAGAGGUCAAUGUCCUGAUAACAAAACCUUUGGAACCUAAAACUGAAUGACAAUUUCUUUAGUCACUCAGAAAAAAAAACAGAUAAUGUAGAAAAGUAUGUGUGUGUGUAGUAAAGUAUGCGAACAAAGUCACUACGGGAAAAUUAAAGGCAGAAAAAGUUUUUAUGUCUCACUUUUACAUUAUAAAAUUAUUAUCAAACUGUUUAUUUUGUUUUUAUAUAUGUAUAUAUAAAUAAAAUUAUUUUGUUUAUAUACAUGUAUCACACUGCAAUGUUUUCUGCAUCUUCUUAAUUAUUUUCAAUAUUUUUUAUAC